CAGGACAGCCAGGAGUCAGGAGGGCAGGAGAAAUGGCACGGUGGGCCAAAUUCUGAUCCUGCUUACACCCUGUCUGACUAGUCACUUCAGUGGAUUUACACAGGUGUGACAGAGAGUGGAACCAGGCUCCAUAUGUGCAGGCUCCUGGAAAAGUCUUACGCUGUUGCUGCUCAUGUCAACAUGGCUAGAAAUGGAGGCUACAAACUGGGGAAUAAAGGUGAAAUCCAGAUCAUCCUGGUCUAGAAUGCUACAACUUUUUCUGGAACAAAAGUGGAUGAGCACGGGCAGCUGAUAACCAGAAAAACUGAUAAAUUCCUCUCUUCAAGGCCUUGAAAUAUGCUUAAUAUCCUAUUGGAAAUGUAGCCCUUCCCUGCAAGGAGUGCAAGGGGUAAUCCAGGCUAUUCCUGACAACUCGAGGCAUCAUAAACAGUGGAAUGAAUGACAAGCUAGAGGGGAAGUGUGAUCCUGGCAUAAGGGGCACCAACUCAG
rnacentral:lncRNA from 1 species